rnacentral:lncRNA from 1 species
CUCUUUCCAUUAUCAUCACUCACUCGCUCAUCAUAUCUUCCGCCCUAGCUCUGUGACUAUACUACCAAAUUAACUCAAUUUCUCUUCCUCUCUAGAUCCCUAAAAUUAGCCAUUAACAAUGGAGGCAAUGAAGAUGAAGCUAUUCAUAGCUGUUGUGCUGAUGAUGAUAAUGGCGGUUCAGAACGCGGCGGCAGCGACAGAGGCCCCUGCGCCAAGCCCUACUUCAGAUUCAUCUGUUUUUCUACCCACUGUUUUGGCUUCUCUUGUUCCCCUUGUAUUCACUUUUCUGUUCUAAUUGUUCGCCUCUUAGUUUAUGUUGGAUAUCUGGCUUUAUUUUCUCAUGCGGCCAUGCGGGUGGUGGGAUUUAUGUGUAUAGGGAUUUUUUUUGGCUCGGGAUUGAUUAUUUGAUGGAUUUGUUGGGAAAUUUGGGGAAUAUGAGAGAUUGAGAUGGAUUUGUUUGGGGGGAAAUUUCAUUUGUUAUAUUCUUUUAUAUUAAUAGAUUUUGUGGAUGUUUUCUUUAACAAAUUAAUUAAUAUUGUUUUCUUUAUGAUUCCUUUGUGUUGUGAUUUUAAUUUAGUUUGCCAAUUCAGGAUUGCACAAUGUUUAUAUUACAUUGUAUGAUUGUGGUGGAUUGGUCUUUUUAAUAAUUAAACUUAUUCAGUUCAUUCAGAUUGUUUAAACAUUCUGAAUUAUUUCAUUCAGUUUUAUCAAACAAUCCCUUAGUGUUGCAUUUGGAUCGAAGCAAUAAGAGUCAGAAUGAAAUGACUUAUUGUGACAGUGUAAAAAAUUGUGUUUGGUUGUAGCGGAAUUGAUCAUUCCUAUAAAAUAAAAAUAUAUUUAUUUUUUUUGAUAAUUUCAUUGAGAAGUGUAAUUUUGUCCCUAAAAAAUUGGCUUAGCUUGACUUUUUAAAUCAAAUUGACUAAUUUUAAAAUUAAGAAUUAAACAUAUUUAUUUAUUUUUUAAACUUAUGAAAAUUAAUUGCAAAAAUGAAAAGUUAAAAUUAAGUCAAUUUUUGUGUACAAAAGUAUUCGUUUGUUUUUCAAUGAAAUGAUGGGUAUCGAAACCCUGUCUGUCGAGUGUACCCUUGGGCCUGUGAAAUGUUUUGAUAUGGUCAAGCCCAAUUGACUGCUGGUCCAAUUGUGGAAAGAGAGGGCUCCUUCUAAUUGAUUAUCCUAUACUCCCCAUGGGUCUUGAAAUUAAAAAUGAAAUAAAUUCUCAUACCAUACAAUUAUCUUAAAUUUAUAAUUAAUACUUUUAAAAGCACUUUUCUAAUUAC